GGGUGAUUAGCUCAGUGGUAGAGCGCUUCGUUCACAUCGAAGAUGUCAGGGGUUCAAGUCCCUUAUCACCCACCA
rnacentral:tRNA from 1 species